rnacentral:rRNA from 1 species
AUUGAACGCUGGCGGCAGGCCUAACACAUGCAAGUCGAACGGUAACAGGAAUCAGCUUGCUGAUUCGCUGACGAGUGGCGGACGGGUGAGUAAUGUCUGGGAAACUGCCUGAUGGAGGGGGAUAACUACUGGAAACGGUAGCUAAUACCGCAUAACGUCGCAAGACCAAAGAGGGGGACCUUCGGGCCUCUUGCCAUCGGAUGGGCCCAGAUGGGAUUAGCUAGUAGGUGGGGUACCGGCUCACCUAGGCGACGAUCCCUAGCUGGUCUGAGAGGAUGACCAGCCACACUGGAACUGAGACACGGUCCAGACUCCUACGGGAGGCAGCGGUGGGGAAUAUUGCACAAUGGGCGCAAGCCUGAUGCAGCCAUGCCGCGUGUAUGAAGAAGGCCUUCGGGUUGUAAAGUACUUUCAGCGAGGAGGAAGGUGUUGUGGUUAAUAACCACAGCAAUUGACGUUACUCGCAGAAGAAGCACCGGCUAACUCCGUGCCAGCCGCCGCCGUAA